GGAGGGACUGGGGAGAGAGUGAGUCAGGCAGGGACAAGGCUUUCAUCAGUCAUCCCUGGUGGACCCUCCCAAGAAAACCCUAAGGGGUUCCGAGAGCCUCUUGUUGGGGAAGCGUCCACAGUUGGGAGGGUGAUGCAACCUGAACUCCAAGGAGACUGAAGCUCCUGGAUCCCACCUCUCGCACACCUGGCCUCUACUUCCUCACCUGCCUGUACAUCCCUUUAGGAUCCACAGCAUCACGAACAAGUACCCACCUGGAUAACGGAAGGCUCUGGGACCCAUUCAGGAUGUUAUUGAUGUUUUUGGAGAUGACGUCCAAGAGGAAGAGUUGGCGUUGCAUGGAGAGAUAAUGAGCUGUGUGGUGAUCAGCCCAGGCCUCAGAAGAAGUAGAUAAGGGGCAACCUCAGAGCCCUUCACCCACUGGACGCCACUGAAGUUUGUUAGGGACAGGAUCUCUGGAACAGGCACUACACCCCAUUGUGAUGUCCAGACGCCAGCUGGGUUUCCAGGGGCAACGGGGCUGCCCCAGUUCUGAGCCCAGGGGACCCCAGGAGGCAGAUGUGCUCUGGGGCGUGAGAUCCGUUAAGUCUGCCUCAGGAAAGCUGCAUCCUCCACACUGAAACCACACCGGCAUUAGGACGCUCCACUCAGCCUCUGGAAACACCCACCACUGCCUUCUCCUGGAAAGCACCUGCUCUAGUCCCUGGAGACUCGUAUUAGGGCAGAAUCCAACAGAAGAAUUCCGUGGUCAGCAGAGAAAGCCCCAUCUCAGCAUCCAUGGAGCAGGUGCAUCUGAGCACAAGCCUGGUGGACCAGACUACAAGCCUAAGACGAGGGCACAGGAAGCCUGGGUAUUGCCCACAAACACUCCAUCCAGUUCUUCCAUGGCCUGCCUUGAGGUCUACCAAGCAUUUAAAAGUCACCUUACCUGCCUGGGAAAGAUAAAGAAAAUGGAAAUGAUGAAAGAUUCCACAAUGAAACUUGAGCUCCAGAGGAUAUGAGAGAGCCAUGGUAGGAAGAAUUUUUUGGUCAACCUCAAUGUAGAUAAACUGAAAUUAGAAGCGUGUUGCAUUCACCUGAGGUAAGUGAUUGAUACAGGUCAUUAACCCAAGAGAAGGCUCUCUGUGUCAAUAAACAAAGGACAUCUAUGCCA
rnacentral:lncRNA from 1 species